GCCGGGGCGGCCCGGGCGGAGGCGGCGCCGGGAUGGGGCUGCUGCUCAUGAUUCUGGCGUCGGCCGUGCUGGGCUCCUUCCUCACGCUCCUCACCCAGUUCCUGCUGCUGUACCGCAGGCAGCCCGAGCCGCCGCCGGACGAGGCGGCCCGCGCGGGCGACGGCUUCCGCUACAUCAAGCCGGUGCCGGGCCUGGCCCUGAGGGAGUACCUUUAUGGCGGCGGCGGCGGCGGCGGCGGCGGCGGCGGCGGGGCUGAGGAGCCCUCCGGCGGGCCCCCCGACGGCGGCGCGGCCCCGGCCCCGGCCCCGGCCCCUGCCCCGGGCCCCGAGACCCCCGCCCCGCCGACGCGGGAGACCUGCUACUUCCUCAACGCCACCAUCCUGUUCCUGUUCCGGGAGCUGCGGGACACCGCGCUGGCCCGCCGCUGGGUCACCAAGAAGAUCAAGGUGGAGUUCGAGGAGCUGCUGCAGACCAAGACGGCCGGGCGCCUGCUGGAGGGGCUGAGCCUGCGGGACGUGUUCCUGGGCGAGACCGUGCCCUUCAUCAAGACCAUACGGCUCCUCCGGCCCGUGGCGCCCUCGGCCGGCGGGGAGUCGGACGGCCCCGAGGGGGAGACGCUGCCCGCCACCUCCCCCGAGGAGCUGGCCUUCGAGGCGGAGGUGGAGUACAGCGGGGGCUUCCACCUGGCCAUCGACGUGGACUUGGUCUUCGGCAAGUCCGCCUACCUGUUCGUCAAGCUGUCCCGGGUGGUGGGCAGGCUGCGCUUCGUCUUCACCCGCGUGCCCUUCACCCACUGGUUCUUCUCCUUCGUGGAGGACCCGCUCAUCGACUUCGAGGUGCGCUCCCAGUUCGAAGGGCGGCCGAUGCCCCAGCUCACCUCCAUCAUCGUCAACCAGCUCAAGAAAAUCAUCAAGCGCAAGCACACUCUCCCGAGUUACAAGAUCAGGUUUAAGCCGUUUUUUCCAUUCCAAACUUCGCAAGGAUUUGAAGAAGAUGAAGAAGAGCAUAUCCAUAUACAACAAUGGGCACUUACUGAAGGCCGCCUUAAAGUUACAUUGUUAGAGUGUAGCAGGUUACUCAUUUUUGGAUCCUAUGACAGAGAGGCAAAUAUUCAUUGUACACUCGAGUUGAGCAGUGGUGUUUGGGAAGAAAAACAAAGGAGUUCUAUUAAGACGGUUGAAUUAAUAAAAGGGAAUUUACAAAGUGUCGGACUUACACUUCGUCUUGUCCAGUCAACUGACGGGUACGCUGGGCAUGUCAUAAUUGAGACUGUGGCCCCAAACUCGCCUGCUGCACUUGCAGAUCUUCAACGGGGAGACCGGCUGAUUGCUAUUGGAGGUGUGAAAAUCACAUCUACCCUACAAGUGUUAAAGCUGAUCAAGCAGGCCGGGGACCGGGUCCUGGUGUAUUAUGAGAGGCCUGUCGGCCAGAGCAAUCAAGGUGCAGCACUGCAAGAUAAUUUUGGACAGUUGGAAGAAAACUUUCUAUCAAGCUCAUGCCAACCAAACUAUGAAGAAGAAAGCACUGGGUUGGCAGUAGAUGCUGAAAAUAGAGAUUUGGAUUCUGAAUUUGAAGACCUGGCAAGUGAUGUAAGAACACAGAAUGAGCUCAAAGACGAGGUUCCAUCAGUAAGUCACAGCCCCAAACGUACGCCAACAACACUUUCUGUUAAACCCCUUGGAACAAUAUCACCAGUUUUAAACCGUAAAUUAGUUGUAGGAAGUCACCUACCACCACCAAAACCUCCAUGUAAAGAGGGAAAUAAACCCUUGGCCCUAAAAGCUUCUGAGAUAACAGAUCCAACACAAGUGUCAAAACCCACCCAAGGAUCCACUUUCAAACCACCCGUGCCACCACGACCACAAGUGAAAGUUCCUUUGCCUUCUGCUGACCCCCCAAAUCAGACAGAACCAGAUGUUCUCACUGAAAAGCCAGAAAAGGUGCUGCCUCCUCCUCCUGCAGAUAAACCUGCUGAAAAGCAAGCAAAAACUAUGGAUCACACAGAAGAUGUAGCUGCAUCUAAGCAAUUUUUAGCAAAGCAAGAAGUAACAAGAGAUUUUACUUCAGAAAGUUCCUGCCCUCCUAAGGACGGUUCGGAUGACCCUCAAAUGUGGGAAUCCUCAGAAAUUCCUUACCGUAAUAAGCUAGGGAAAUGGACAAGAACCAGAGCAACCUGUUUCUUUGACAUAGAAGCCUGCCACAGAUACUUAAACAUUGCAUUGUGGUGCAGAGAUCCUUUCAAGUUAGGGGGUCUUAUCUGUUUGGGGCAUGUUAGCUUAAAACUUGAAGAGGUGGCUUUAGGAUGCCUGGCUACAUCAAACAUGGAAUACUUUUCAAAAUUCAGAUUGGAAGCCCCAUCACCUAAGGCAAUGGUCACAAGAACCGCACUACGCAAUCUGAGUAUGCAGAAGGGAUUCAAUGACAAAUUUUGCUUUGGUGACAUUACCAUUCACUUCAAAUAUUUGAAAGAAGGAGAACCAGACCAACAUGUAGUUACUAACGUAGAGAAAGAAAAAGAACUCCAUUUGGUCGAAGAGGUUUCUGCCCUACCUAAAGAGGAGCAUUUUGUUGGACAGAUGGGUUUAACAGAAAAUAAACAUAGUUUCCAGGAUACUCAGUUCCAGAACCCAACUUGGUGUGAUUACUGUAAGAAAAAAGUGUGGACUAAAGCUGCUUCCCAGUGUAUGUACUGUGCUUAUGUUUGCCAUAAAAAAUGUCAGGAAAAGUGUCUAGCGGAGACUCCUCUCUGUGGAGCAACUGAUAGGCGGAUAGACCGGACCCUGAAAAACCUCAGGCUGGAAGGACAAGAAACCUUCUUAGGCCUGCCUCCUCGUGUUGAUGCUGAAGCUAGCAAGUCCGUCAAUAAAACAACAGGUUUGACAAGACACAUUAUCAACACAAGCUCUCGUUUGUUAAAUUUGCGCCAAGUCUCUAAAACUCGCCUUUCUGAACCAGGAACUGAUCUAGUGGAACCUUCACCAAAACACACACCCAACACAUCUGACAAUGAAGGCAGUGACACAGAAGUCUGUGGUCCAAACAGUCCUUCUAAACGAGGAAACAACACAGGAAUAAAGUUGGUGAGAAAGGAGGGUGGUCUGGACGACAGCGUUUUCAUUGCAGUUAAAGAAAUUGGCCGUGAUCUGUACAGGGGCCUGCCUACAGAGGAGAGGAUCCAGAAACUAGAGUUCAUGCUGGAUAAACUGCAGAAUGAAAUUGACCAGGAGCUGGAACAUAAUAAUUCCCUUGUUAGAGAAGAAAAAGAAACAACUGAAUCAAGGAAAAAAUCCCUUCUUUCUGCUGCUUUAUCUAAAUCAGGUGAAAGACUACAAGCUCUAACACUUCUCAUGAUCCACUACAGAGCAGGCAUUGAAGAUCUUGAAUCUUUAGAAAGUCUGUCUUUAGACCAGCACUCAAAAAAAAUAAGCAAGUACACAGAUGAUACAGAAGAAGAUCUUGAUAAUGAGAUAACCCAACUAAUAGACUCCCAGCCGUUCAGCAGCAUAUCAGAGGAUUUGUUUGGCCCAUCUGAGUCUGUUUAACAAACCGCUGAUUUAAACUUUCGAGUGAUUGGGGGAAAGUUGCAUCUUAAGUACCAUGUGUAAGCCCUCUUCUAAUGCACUUCAGCCUGCUUCUCCACAGCAAUUUGCUUGUGUAAGAACAAGAGUGAAAAAGGUUGUUUUUCAGGAAAAACAUGACCAGCUCACUAAAUUGGUUGUUUCAGAUUGCAUUUAUAGCUAUGCUUUUUUGGGUUUAUACUGGGAAUUUAUUUUUACUAAUUUAUUUUUAACUUUUUCUAAUUAUGUAAUUAUGUAAGCUAACUUUUCAUGUUUAUGUACAUGUGAUGUCUCAUUGUGUUAUUUUCCUUCAUCUUAGUUUUUGAAUGAGUGUUAAAUAGGAUACUGUCCAAAUUCUUGAAGAUUUUCAUUUCCAUCACGGUUAUAACAAGUUUGCUGCAUGCCCAAAUCGACAACAGCAAUCAUUGAGGGAACAGGUUUUGAGUCUUUGUGUUAGGAAGUUUGUCAUCUCUACUUGCUUGAGAUUUUUGAUAUUUUGGGGCUUGGGGGCGGUUUUUUUGUUUUUGCCAAAUGUGACAUAAAAGCAGAUGCUGCGGCUUUAGUCAGUUACACUGAUUUAGUAAAAAAAAAAAAAAAUAAGUUACAUAUAGUGCUUGCUUUCUAUCCUUCUGUGAAUUUUUUUCUAGUUUUUGUGCAGUUUUAGUGAGAAUACAGUUAUUAAUUUGAAGAGGUUGCAUUGAAAAAAUGUAAUAGGGAAUAGAGAAUGCAGUUGGUCAGUUUUGUAGAGAAGAUUACUAAAAACACAGUAACCAGUAGGAUUUUGAAAUAUAAUCUUUCAAUAUAUUGAUGCUUUCUCCUUUUAAAUGGAAGUUCUGAAUAUUUAUGAUUUUCAUCUUCAGUUCUCCCAUGGGAAAUAAAGCAUGUCAAGGAUAGAGUUUCAGAGAACUGUUCUUAAAAUGACCGUGUUGAUAACUGGGUUUGGCUCUUUUGUUUUAGGAACAUAUUCAUGCAGGAGGGUGUUAUGAAAGAAAGGAAUCAUGCAGGAUAGAUUUAUUGCUUUUCUGACAUGCUGCCCGUUGAAGGAAUGGUGGUCAUUCUGAACACUUCUGUAGUUCAGAUGGUCUUUUGUUUAAAAAAAGAAAAUAAAAAUUAACAGUAUAGAUACAUAGGAAUUGGGAUCAGUUCUUUGAUAAUGAAGAUCUGUUCUGAUACUCCGUCCAUUGUAUGGACUCCAGGAACACAUGACUGAGGGAAAACAUGAGAGCAUGACCUCUGUGUUGGUAUACCAUACAAGUUUUGGCCUUUUACAUGUCUAUUUUCCUUUUGUAGGUAACUACUAUGAUAAUUGACAUAUAGUAAAGACUGACAUGAAUUUAAAGCUAGGUGGGACAGUUUUGAUGGACAGCAGAAAGAAGCAUAGUAGAAGAGUAAGGGUUCCAGCCCAGGACUCCAGACAAGAGCUUAAGAUCAAGCUCUUCCACUGGCCAUUAAUGAACUCUGUAACCACAAGAGGGUUCCGUGCGGCAGUCUCCCCAGCUCCAAAGUAGGAAUAAACAAUACUUUAACUACCUCACAGGAUUGUUGUGAGGAGAAAACAGAACUGCGAAAGUGCUCUAAACAGUCAAAAGCUAUUCAAAAAAAGAGAUCAACAGUGGGCAUGCCUCUACCAGUCAUUCUUGAAGAACUGAAGGCAAGAAUGAGAUUGGAAUAAAUCAUUCAGUAUUGUAUACUGGUCAGGGGGAUCCAUGAACCCUCUUAAGAGAACUGAUCUGUAGCACGUUCUUUAAGGGUCUCCCCAGUGGGAAUAGAAAACAGUCCUGCCGUCAUACAUUAGCCAUAUGAGAGUGCUUCUAGAGACAUCUUACAAAGUCACAGAUUUGUGUAAAUUGCCCAGUGCAAAUAUGUGAGUAGGAAACUUCCUUUCUUCCACCACGCUGCACUUGAAAGCCAGAUUUCAAAUGCUUCGAAGCCCCACAUAAAAUUUCAUAAAGCAAAUGGAAACAAAGUACUAGCUAGUCUAAAGUUCUUUGCUCCUUGUCCAAGUUAACAGAAACACAAUUUUAACUUAACAAAGUACAGACAUUAGGUAAUUUUUGUUGAUUGCAAAGCUACAGAAUUAACAAGUAUUAACAAAUAUCUGAGACAUUCUACACUAUCUGCACACUCCAAUCACAUCUCAUACAAAACCUGAUGUCAACGGACAGUGCUAACACAGUAUUUGCUGUUAAAUUGAAAAGGCACGUCAAUGUUGUCAUGCUUAGAAAAACCACAUUACACAGCACUAGAUGAUAUAAUAAUAGACAGUUCUAGAUGUUUCUAGGAUUUUUCUGAAAGGGAAUGUGUCCUGACCUAUUAUUUUUACCUGUUUUCCUAACGUAAUUCAAGAUAAUUUCAUUCCUCCUCCAUCUUUACUUAAAAUUUGUUUUCACAUUGAUGUGAACAACCUUCAGAAGUCUAAAAAAUAAUAAUUGCAAUUCAAAAUUUAAUUGGUUCCUAGAAAACACUUGGAUGACCUCAUAACAGGUCAAGAAUGUAGUCUAAUUUUUUUGACAUAGCAGCUAUUAGCCUUUUAAAUUUCUAAAAGUUGAUGGUAUAAGGUAUUAUCUACCCUCAAUUUUCUUUCAUUCUAAGACAAGUAUAUAUUUUAAAGGGAACACUAGUUCAUAACUUAUACUUUUGGGUGCUUUUCUCUGCUUUCAGAACAUUUACUAUUUUUUCCUAUUGGCUUUAGUGUCUGCUGCCAGCCACAUGACCUGUAAACAUAUAAUUUACAACCAUCUGUUUCCAGGUAGAUGAUUCCGUAGAAAAUUAAUGCCAGCUACGAUUUAUGGGUAAGUCCAAAAAAUGACGGCUCAAGUUCCUGUCCUCUGCCUUUGAGAUAACUAGACUUUAGCUCAUAAAUAUAUUGAUAGUAAUUACAAGUUAACCCCACUCAAUGUCACUACAUCAUAUGCUGUCUUAUUUAAUUCUAUUUUUCAGACUUCCUUCUAGUUUCUCAGCGUUGGAAGUGUCUCGGAGAUAAUGUGUGCUUUAAUUUUAAACACUCAUUACCAGUAUUCAGAAAAAAAUAUAAGAUUUUUUUGCCCAAGUGUUCAUGAAUGUGGACUUCGAAGAAAAAAGCAGAGAGGAGCAAAAAGAAUAUCAAUUAUUCCAAUAAUGGUCAUGAGCCAUGGAAAUCCAAUUGCCUUUGCGAUAGCCCCACCAGCAGAAGGACCUUUCAGGAAACAGAGAAUUAGAUCAAGCUCUCUCCAGAUGUCUCAUAGAUAGAAAGAUACAACAAGUUAAAUAAUUUUCAAUCAGCAUUACCAUCCAUUAAGCUAAACAGUUGUUUUGAAAGCCUGCAUCCUUACCUAUGGCAUAUCCCAUACAGAACGCCACAUCUGCAAUGGCAUACACACUGCCGUAGACAGACACAUGCCGCAGGUCGACCAGGUAGCCCAUGAUGGGCAUCAUUGACGAAUCCACCAUUCCUGUGGACAGUUAGGGAACAUGGUCUGUGGAAAACGGAUGUAACCCGAAAAUGCGGGGAAUACCAGGGACUGUGUCCUAACCUCACAAGCCCACCAGCUCUUCCCCAAUUGUCAUCACCACCUGUGAGUCUCGAGGCAGGCUGCCUAAGGCAUACCCUUCACUAAAGACAGACUGCAGGUCACUGAGCUGGGACUGGAACCCAGGCCACCUUACCCCAUCUGGCCUCCACUGUCUGAAGGGCUCAUCUUCCUGGGGAGGGCACCCAGCCCUCUGGUGACUCACAGACCAGGCUUCACAUUGAGUGGAGCACUGGCUACUGGUUGUGUGGCACCCUCACUCACUUCGAGCUGCUGCUAUCCAGAUUAACUCUCUUCUAGUCGAUAGGCCCCUUACCUUCACCCAGGGGGCACACCUAUAAGCCUCAUACACCCCCGUCCCCAUCCACACGCCCUGGCCUCACAUGUGGACCAUAAGAAGCUGGAAAGUAUCAGGGAAGACAGGAAGGAAUUAGAAUAUGUAGGGGCCUUGUGGGGGGGUGACCCUGGCCUGCUCAGGAACAGAUAAAGAGGUCUGCUAAUCUGCGGCUCACACACACACACACACACACACACACCACCAAGGCCACAUUAGAAUCUCUUGUUCCUUCAACAGUCAGGGACAGGCAGCACAAAGAAAGAGCAUGUGUGUUCAGAGUCCUGGGCUCAAGUCCCUGGCAGGGUGAGCAUGGCCAUUCCUCAUCUCUCUGAACACUGGCUUACCCAUCCAUAAAAUGGUGCAGAUAAUGAUGGGCUAAGACAAGACUGUCUCUGUGGAUAACACCUCCAGCAGAGUACUCAAAUCUUAGUCCCCUCUUCUCCACCAACUAGAUAGCAAGAAGAGGAGGGAAGUUUCUUUCAUUCAAUUCAUAUUUGGUGAUCCCCUAAUAUGUGGAAGUUGCUGGGGACAUGGGGUGAAUAAAAUGGACAGAAGAGUUGGAUGGGCCCCAAAGAAUUGAAAAAUAAAUUACAGCUGUCACUGACACCACUGGAGUAGGUAGGUGCUGUGGGGAGGAUAAACCUAAGCCCACCUGGGGCUCCUUUCUCUCUUUCCACAGUACCCACUCAAAGAUUCAAUUCUUGCCUUUAGCCUGUGAUAGAUUUAGCAUUGAUUUCUAGUAUGACCCAUCUGUAUAUUACAAAAAAGAAACAAACGUAGACUUUUUACCCAAAAUAUUCACAAGUCUGUUCUUAACAUAUUCUUGUUCCUCGCAUUUCAAAUACUCAUCCCUUUGCCAGUGAUUCCGCAGCACACGUAAUCAUGAAUACAUCAGCCAACCUCUUCUAUACCAAACCUUAUAAAAAACUACAUGUGCAGUCUCUGUCCCCCAGAUUCACUGGAGCAGGUCUGUGCACAGAUCUGAGCCCAAACACACGUGCUCUGGUUGAGGGAUUCUCUUGUUUGCCCAAGGGCAGCAACGGAGUAUCCGUUUGCUUCUGUAAAUAUCAGGCUUUUAAAAAUACUGGUUUUCAGGAAAUAAAUGACUAGUACGGAGAAGCAAGGAUCUGUCUGUAGACAAUCAACAGGCUGUACUUGAGCUUGGCUGCCUACAGCCUCUGCUCAAGCUUCCAGAAAUUUUAGGUUGAGGAACGACAGUCUGCCCAAAUAAGAGGAAAUCCUUCCCAGUAAUGGGGGAAACAAAGUUUUAAAUUUAGGCCUAAGGUUACAUGACUUACCAAUUGCAAAACCAACUCCAAAGUUGGGAGCUAUGAGUCCAUAGAUGUUUUUGGCAAAAGGAAUCUGUGAGAGGAAAUAAACAUUAUACUAGAAUCAUGACAUCCAAUGGUAAAUCUGGGAAAAUAUAAAAGACAUAAUUUCUCUA